CCAACGCCUCCAACGCCAGACACCAUUCCGCCCUCGCUAUCGCUCACCAUCGCUAAACACCAUUUCUGCCUUCGCCGUCGACCAGUGGCAGUCCGAGACGGCGGCAACCCUCCUCGAUGCUGAGUAGCAGCGGCGCCCUCCCUUCCUUCCCCUCUCCCUCUCGGUUAGCACCGACCAUGGUCGGACUCCGUCCAAAUGGCAGCAGCGACGGACAGAAACGGAGACCAGUUCGGCCAUCGGUUCAGCGAUGCCAUUGCCCAGUUCUCUGACUGCCUCGCCUUCGUACAACGCGUAGCAGCAGCGAGCUCCGGCUACUAGCAGCGUCUGGUCGGCCACAUCUGGUUGCGACAAAAAAAUCCGGCGAGAAGAUCUGCGACGGCGAUGUACUGGGCAAGCAAGAAUCCGGCGAGCUCCUAAUCCUAUUAUUUUCUCAGACUUAUAAUGAAGUUCAGCAUUGCUUUCUAAUAGUUGGUUCGCUGUACCCUGAGGAUUUGUUUUUGUUCCUUCUCAAUGUAGAGAAACAUAGCAGAGAAAAGAAUCUCUUGACCAGCAGUGAAUAUCCAAGAAGAAACGACAGUUAGAUUUGAGAAUGAAUUCAUUGUUGCUGGUGGAAAAGGUGAACCUGCUGAAGUAAUGUCUGAAUAUGGUUUCAAGUAAUUUUGGAAAUGUAAUUUCUUAGUGUUUGUAUUGACUAUUGAGAAUUACAGUUUGUAAAAAAGAAUGUCUUUGUUAGUAAUUCAGACUAUUAUAUUUUUGUUUAGACUUGAAUUGGCUAGUAUUACUUACUAAAUGUAAAUGUAGAUUGAUAAUGUUAUUUUGGAAUUGUAAUUUCUUAGUGUUUGUAUUGACUAUUGAGAAUUACAUGAGAAUUACUGUUUGUAAAAAA